rnacentral:rRNA from 1 species
AUGGCAAUGUUUGCCGUUCUGCUGCUGCUGGCAGCGCCGCUGCUUCCACCCGCAGCAGCGCAGCAGCCGCCGGGGUGCCGGCGGCAGUGCGGCAACGUGACCGUCCCCUACCCCUUCGGAAUCGGAGCGCGCUGCCACCGUGCCGAGGACCGUGGAUUCCGGCUCGAGUGCGACGACACGCGCCACCCACCGCGGCUGACCGUGGCCGGCUAUGGCCACGAGGUGGUCGCCAUCUCGCUCGCCUCUGCCGAGGCGACCGUGCUGCUCAACGCCAGCCGCGCCUGCUACGACCGCACCUCCGGCUCCGGCCGCGUGCUUGGCCGGCGGGAGUACCCCAUGGCCCUCAACGGCAGCGCCUUCCUCUUCUCGUCCAUGAAGAGCAAGUUCGUGGCCAUCGGCUGCCCGGACCUGGCCUACUUCGUGGACGACGGAGGGUACUACGUGACCGGGUGCAUGUCGGUGUGCCGGCCGUCGGAGCGCGCGCUGCCCGGGUCGUGCCGGGGCGGCGACGGCUGCUGCCAGAGCAACAUCCCGCUGGGGCUGGCCUCCUACCGCCCGCACGUCCGCAGCUUCGGCCGGCGCCAGCAGCAGCAGGGAGGGACGUUCCUGGCCAACUCCACGGGCUGCGCCUACGCGUUCAUGGUGGACGCCUGGUGGUUCUGGUACGCCGGCUCGCACUUCAACAGGACGGGCGACUUCGCCGUGCCCGUCGUGCUGGACUGGGCCAUCAGAGGCGCCGGCGCCGGAGGUUCCUGCGCCACCGUGCGGGAGAACGCGACCGCCUACGCGUGCCGGAGCGCGCACAGCGUGUGCCUGGACUCGAGCAACGGUCCGGGGUACGUCUGCAACUGCACCAGCGGCUACGAGGGGAACCCCUAUGUCCUCGGCGGCUGCAACGAUGUGGACGAAUGCGCGGAACAUGAUUUGUACCCGUGCUACGGUGUGUGUACCAACACGCCAGGCAGCUACCUCUGCACAUGCCCCAAGGGAUGGAGUGGAAACGCUACCGUGCAGGAUGGUUGCCACCAACAAGACAAAUUCACAUUAGCGCUGAAGGCCGUCACAGGUGUAAGCAUAGGAGUGUUCAUGGUGAUCCUGGCGUGCUUCUGGGCACACCUGAGUCUUCAGAAGAGGAGGAUGCUCAGAGCGAAGCAGAGGUUCUUCGAGCAGAACGGUGGGCUCCUCCUGCAGCAGCACCUGGGUUCACUGGCCAGCUCCGGCGUCGCAUUCAAGAUCUUUUCCGAGGAGGAAAUCAAGAAGGCCACCGGCAACUUCGACGAGGCGCAGGUCCUCGGCCGAGGAGGCAACGGCGUGGUCUACAGGGGCGUCCUCCCCGGCGCCGGCGGCUCCACCACCGUUGCCAUCAAGAGGUCCAGGGUGGCCGAUGAGAAGCAGCUCAAGGAGUUCUCCAAGGAGAUGCUGAUCCUCUCGCAGAUCAACCACAGGAACGUCGUGAAGCUGCUCGGAUGCUGCCUCGAGGUCGAGGUGCCCAUGCUCGUCUACGAGUACGUCCCCAACGGCAGCCUCCACCGCUACAUCCACGGCGACGGCAAGGGCCAGGCGCCCAUGCCGCCGGGGGAGCGCCUGCGCGUCGCCGUUGAGUCGGCGCACGCGCUCGCGUACAUGCACUCGUCCGCCUCGCCCCCGAUCCUGCACGGCGACGUCAAGUCCGCAAACAUCCUGCUCGACGGCGAGCUCACCGCCAAGGUCUCCGACUUCGGCGCGUCAAGGCUGGCGCCCGUCGAUGAGGCCCAGGUGGCCACGCUUGUCCAGGGAACCUGCGGGUACCUCGACCCGGAGUAUCUGCUCACGUGCCAGCUCACCUGCAAGAGCGACGUGUACAGCUUCGCGGUGGUGCUGCUGGAGCUCCUCACCGGGAGGAAGGCGUUCUGCCCGGACGGCCCCGAGGAGGAUGACACCAGCCUCGCAUUCUCCUUCGUCACGGCUGUGCAGGGGGGACGACACCGGGAGAUCAUGGACGGAAGUGUCAGGGAGAAGCUCGGGGACGAGGUGAUAGACGACGCCGCGGAGCUGGUUAUACGGUGCCUGAGCUUGACCGGUGAGGAGAGGCCGACAAUGAUGGAGGUUGCCGACAAGAUCGAGAGAUUGAGAAGCUGCGCAUGCAGAAAUGCAACCGUAUAG